UACGUAGGGGGCGAGCGUUGUCCGGAUUUAUUGGGCGUAAAGCGCACGUAGGCGGUUCGUUAAGUCGGAUGUGAAAGCCCUCGGCUCAACUGAGGAAGUGCACCCGAAACUGGCGAGCUUGAGUACGAAAGAGGAUCGCGGAAUUCCCGGUGUAGAGGUGAAAUUCGUAGAUAUCGGGAGGAACACCGGCGGCGAAGGCGGCGAUCUGGGUCGAUACUGACGCUGAGGUGCGAAAGCGUGGGGAGCAAACAGG
rnacentral:rRNA from 1 species